rnacentral:rRNA from 1 species
AACGGCGAGUGAAGCGGCAACAGCUCAAAUUUGAAAUCUGGCUUCGGCCCGAGUUGUAAUUUGUAGAGGAAGCUUUUGGCAAGGCACCGGCUGAGUCCCCUGGAACGGGGCGCCAUAGAGGGUGAGAGCCCCGUAUAGCCGGACGCUGAGCCUCUGUAAAGCUCCUUCGACGAGUCGAGUAGUUUGGGAAUGCUGCUCAAAAUGGGAGGUAAAUUUCUUCUAAAGCUAAAUAUUGGCCAGAGACCGAUAGCGCACAAGUAGAGUGAUCGAAAGAUGAAAAGCACUUUGAAAAGAGGGUUAAAUAGCACGUGAAAUUGUUGAAAGGGAAGCGCUUGUGACCAGACUUGCGCCUGGCCGAUCAUCCGGGGUUCUCCCCGGUGCACUCGGCCAGGCUCAGGCCAGCAUCGGUUCUCUUGGGGGGACAAAGGUCCCGGGAACGUAGCUCCCUCCGGGGAGUGUUAUAGCCCGGGGCGUAAUGCCCUCGAGGGGACCGAGGACCGCGCUUCGGCAAGGAUGCUGGCGUUACGGUCAUCAGCGACCCGUCUUGAAACACGGACCAAGGAGUCAAGGUUUUGCGCGAGUGUUUGGGUGUAAAACCCGCACGCGUAAUGAAAGUAAACGUAGGUGAGAGCUUCGGCGCAUCAUCGACCGGCCCAGAUGUUCUCGGAAGGGCCUGAGUAGGAGCGUUAAGCCUUGGACCCGAAAGAUGGUGAACUAUGCUUGGAUAGGGUGAAGCCAGAGGAAACUCUGGUGGAGGCUCGCAGCGGUUCUGACGUGCAAAUCGAUCGUCAAAUCUGAGCAUGGGGGCGAAAGACUAAUCGAACCAUCUAGUAGCUGGUUACCGCCGAA